rnacentral:rRNA from 1 species
UACAGAGGGUGCGAGCGUUAAUCGGAAUUACUGGGCGUAAAGCGUGCGUAGACGGUAGCGUAAGUCGGGUGUGAAAGCCCCGGGCUCAACCUGGGAACAGCAUUCGAGACUGCUCUGCUAGGGUGCGGAAGAGGGAAGCGGAAUUUCCGGUGUAGCGGUGAAAUGCGUAGAUAUCGGAAGGAACAUCAGUGGCGAAAGCGGCUUCCUGGUCCAGCACCGACGUUCAGGCACGAAAGCGUGGGGAGCAAACAGG